rnacentral:lncRNA from 1 species
UCACACCCUUGCUCCUGACACUGGUGGAGCUGCAGGUCGUGAGGGCUGCCAUCCGAGAGUCCCUGCCUGGGGAGUCUGGCCCACUGAGCCUAGUCUGCCAUGGUGGAGAGCCUGGCCAUGACUCCGUGCUGCAGCGGCUCCUGAGGGAGGGGAUCUGUGAGCCCCACAGCCUUGGUAGCCGGGGGUGAAGAUGUCAUGCAUGGGUCAAGCUUGCUGUGCGGAGCUGUGGAGUCUGCUGGA